rnacentral:rRNA from 1 species
GAUGAACGCUGGCGGCGUGCUUAACACAUGCAAGUCGAACGGAAAGGCCCAAGCUUGCUUGGGUACUCGAGUGGCGAACGGGUGAGUAACACGUGGGUGAUCUGCCCUGCACUUCGGGAUAAGCCUGGGAAACUGGGUCUAAUACUGGAUAGGACCACUUCUUGGAUGUUGUGGUGGAAAGUUUUUUCGGUGUGGGAUGAGCUCGCGGCCUAUCAGCUUGUUGGUGGGGUAAUGGCCUACCAAGGCGUCGACGGGUAGCCGGCCUGAGAGGGUGUACGGCCACAUUGGGACUGAGAUACGGCCCAGACUCCUACGGGAGGCAGCAGUGGGGAAUAUUACACAAUGGGCGCAAGCCUGAUGCAGCGACGCCGCGUGGGGGAUGACGGCCUUCGGGUUGUAAACUCCUUUCGCUAGGGACGAAGCGUUUUGUGACGGUACCUGGAGAAGAAGCACCGGCUAACUACGUG